UGUCCUUUAACCAGAAAAACCCUUGUUUUCCCCCUUUGUUGUACCUUAUUCCAUAAUGAGUUGAGCCAUAACCCCCCCUCCCUUUAACCAUCGCUUUGUAGUAUGAAAACUUGUGCUAUAAUUUCAGAGAGAUUUAUACACUUAAACACAAGUAAUUGACUAAAAACUAAAAAAAAUGCUUAUUUGGGCCCCUUUUUAUGGCCCCUCCCUUAUUGAAACCCCCGGCCCCCCUUGAAGCGAGAACCUGAAAGCUCAAUUCCAGCCUUUCCUUUCUAGUAAGAAACCUUGUAGUAUAAUUUCAGCGAUAUCCAUACACUUAAACACAAGUUAUUGUCUGUAAACUAGAAAAUGCUUCUUUUUGGUCCUUUUUGGUCCCUUAUUUCUUAAUGUUCAGAGAUAUAAACCCCAAACUGAAUCCAAACCUUCCCUUUGUUAUAAGGAACCUUGUGGUACAAUGUCAGAGAGAUCAAUACUCUUAAAUACUAGCUAACAUCAAGAAACUAGAAAAAGCUUUAGUUUGGCCCCUAAACACUGCAUGAAUUGAGCAAUUACCCCCAAACUCAAUCUCAGCCUUCCAUUUGUGAUAUGGAACCUUGUGGUACAAUAUCAGAGAGAUCGAUAAACUUACACACAAGUUAUUGCCCAGAAACAACAAAAAUGCUUGUUUUUGGCCCCUUUCUGGUCCUUAAUUCCUAAACUGUUGGCAACAUAACCCUCAAAAUUUAUCAAAACCUUUUUCUUGUGGUAUUAAACAUUGUGGUAUAAUUU
rnacentral:lncRNA from 1 species